rnacentral:rRNA from 1 species
CAGUAGCCACGGGAAUACGUAGGGUGCGAGCGUUGUCCGGAAUUACUGGGCGUAAAGAGCUCGUAGGCGGUUUGUCACGUCGUCUGUGAAAUCCUAGGGCUUAACCCUGGACGUGCAGGCGAUACGGGCUGACUUGAGUACUACAGGGGAGACUGGAAUUUCUGGUGUAGCGGUGGAAUGCACAGAUAUCAGGAAGAACACCGAUGGCGAAGGCAGGUCUCUGGGUAGUAACUGACGCUGAGGAGCGAAAGCAUGGGUAGCGAACAGGAUUAGAUACCCGAGUAGUCCCUGUCUCUUAUAC